rnacentral:rRNA from 1 species
AAAUUGAAGAGUUUGAUCAUGGCUCAGAUUGAACGCUGGCGGCAGGCCUAACACAUGCAAGUCGAGCGGUAGCACAGAGAGCUUGCUCUCGGGUGACGAGCGGCGGACGGGUGAGUAAUGUCUGGGAAACUGCCUGAUGGAGGGGGAUAACUACUGGAAACGGUAGCUAAUACCGCAUAACGUCGCAAGACCAAAGUGGGGGACCUUCGGGCCUCAUGCCAUCAGAUGUGCCCAGAUGGGAUUAGCUAGUAGGUGGGGUAAUGGCUCACCUAGGCGACGAUCCCUAGCUGGUCUGAGAGGAUGACCAGCCACACUGGAACUGAGACACGGUCCAGACUCCUACGGGAGGCAGCAGUGGGGAAUAUUGCACAAUGGGCGCAAGCCUGAUGCAGCCAUGCCGCGUGUGUGAAGAAGGCCUUCGGGUUGUAAAGCACUUUCAGCGGGGAGGAAGGCGGUGAGGUUAAUAACCUCAUCGAUUGACGUUACCCGCAGAAGAAGCACCGGCUAACUCCGUGCCAGCAGCCGCGGUAAUACGGAGGGUGCAAGCGUUAAUCGGAAUUACUGGGCGUAAAGCGCACGCAGGCGGUCUGUCAAGUCGGAUGUGAAAUCCCCGGGCUCAACCUGGGAACUGCAUUCGAAACUGGCAGGCUAGAGUCUUGUAGAGGGGGGUAGAAUUCCAGGUGUAGCGGUGAAAUGCGUAGAGAUCUGGAGGAAUACCGGUGGCGAAGGCGGCCCCCUGGACAAAGACUGACGCUCAGGUGCGAAAGCGUGGGGAGCAAACAGGAUUAGAUACCCUGGUAGUCCACGCCGUAAACGAUGUCGAUUUGGAGGUUGUGCCCUUGAGGCGUGGCUUCCGGAGCUAACGCGUUAAAUCGACCGCCUGGGGAGUACGGCCGCAAGGUUAAAACUCAAAUGAAUUGACGGGGGCCCGCACAAGCGGUGGAGCAUGUGGUUUAAUUCGAUGCAACGCGAAGAACCUUACCUGGUCUUGACAUCCACAGAACUUUCCAGAGAUGGAUUGGUGCCUUCGGGAACUGUGAGACAGGUGCUGCAUGGCUGUCGUCAGCUCGUGUUGUGAAAUGUUGGGUUAAGUCCCGCAACGAGCGCAACCCUUAUCCUUUGUUGCCAGCGGUUAGGCCGGGAACUCAAAGGAGACUGCCAGUGAUAAACUGGAGGAAGGUGGGGAUGACGUCAAGUCAUCAUGGCCCUUACGACCAGGGCUACACACGUGCUACAAUGGCAUAUACAAAGAGAAGCGACCUCGCGAGAGCAAGCGGACCUCAUAAAGUAUGUCGUAGUCCGGAUUGGAGUCUGCAACUCGACUCCAUGAAGUCGGAAUCGCUAGUAAUCGUAGAUCAGAAUGCUACGGUGAAUACGUUCCCGGGCCUUGUACACACCGCCCGUCACACCAUGGGAGUGGGUUGCAAAAGAAGUAGGUAGCUUAACCUUCGGGAGGGCGCUUACCACUUUGUGAUUCAUGACUGGGGUGAAGUCGUAACAAGGUAACCGUAGGGGAACCUGCGGUUGGAUCACCUCCUUA